AGGACAAUGCAAGACAAAGGUUCUCAAAUAACUGUGGAGUGUUUGUCUUGAUGGCAAAAUGCACUGUAUGUUAUUCUGGGACAGAAGUUUGACUUCACUGAACUAAACAUGAAGAACAUAGGAAAAUGGUGGUGUGCCAUCUUGCUUGAAAAUUAAAAGAAGAAGAAGAAGAAUGCUCUGCACUCCCUGAAACCUACGGGAAGAAAAAAACUGAACUUGCAUAUGAAACAGACCAAACCCCAGUUGUGCCCUCUGUUUUUAGCAAGGAUGAGCUGUUAAAAGAUGAUGACCCUCCAUCAUGCUUUAUCUUCAAGGUGUUACAUGCUGGAAAAAAGACAUCUCACUACAAACAGCUCUUCUGGAAGAUGUACUCAAUCUCC